rnacentral:rRNA from 1 species
AGCAGCCGCGGUAAUUCCAGCUCCAAUAGCGUAUAUUAAAGUUGUUGCAGUUAAAAGCUCGUAGUUGAAUUUCGGGGUUCUACCGUUGGUCAGGCUAUUGUCUGUACUGGCGUGUAGAGUUUCUACCUUCUGGGGAACUAUCAUGUUAUUAAUUUAGCGUGGUAGGAAACCAGGACCUUUACCUUGAAAAAUUAGAGUGUUCAAAGCAGGCUUAUGUCUGAAUACAUUAGCAUGGAAUAAUAAAAUAGGACGGUGGUCCUGUUUUGUUGGUUUCUGAAUCACCGUAAUGAUUAAUAGGGAUAGUUGGGGGCAUUAGUAUUCAAUUGUCAGAGGUGAAAUUCUUGGAUUUAUUGAAGACUAACUACUGCGAAAGCAUUUGCCAAGGAUGUUUUCAUUAAUCAAGAACGAAAGUUAGGGGAUCGAAGACGAUCAGAUACCGUCGUAGUAUUAACCAUAAACUAUGCCGACUAGGGAUCGGACGAAGUUAAUUUUUAAUGAACUCGUUCGGCGCCUUACGGGA